rnacentral:lncRNA from 1 species
GCGUAAUUCGGGGGUAUCCUUAGGUGUACCUAGGGUAUUAACCAGCCUCUGAAACGUGGAGACGGCGGUGUUUAUCUGGAAUAUUCCUGAGGCCACGGCUUGGGUCGGGUCUUGCUUCCCAUUCACAUAGCCACGAUGGGAGCCCAAUGAUCGACCCGAUUGUAGAUCUUGAAAGCUCAUCUCUUAGCCACGGCUUGGGACGGGUCUUGCUUCCCAUUCACAUAGCCACGACGGGAACCCAAUGAUCGACCCGAUUCUAGAUCUUGAAAGCUCAUCUCUUUCUCUUAUUUCUUCGAAUUGUGAUCAAAAUUCGCCUCAAAAUUCAGAAUCCAAAACUAAAGGUAAAUGUUUCAAAAGGAAAAAAACUGGAUUACAAUAGUAAUAUGAAAACCCUAGAAUUUGGGGUUUGGAGAAUUUUGUCCGGGAAAAUUAUAAGGUAGUAGUUAUUUGGACAGGUAAAAGGGGUGGAAAAUUGCGCCAAAAUUUGAGAAAUUGGGCGAAAAUGGAGGAAGGAAUUGGAGAAUAGAAUGGAGAUGUUAAUAUUUUAUCAUUUGAUGAGAGAACGAUGGGAUUGUGCGACACGUUCAAGUGGG